ACUGACUGUAAGUAGGAGUAGUUCUUCCCAUUCUGUGUCAGUGAGUUUAUUUAAAUGUUUCCUAAGCACAGCUGUAGUGGUGUUUAUAGCACAGCGUGGUUUGUGGGGAAAGCUCACUUUCUCAUCCCAUUUAAAAAGUAACUGAGAAAUGGAAAGAUUAUUAAAACAUUUAAAGAAAAGGGAGAUGUUAAUAGAGGAAAGUGCUGAGGGAAUCGUCAUCCUGUGUUCUGAUGAGACAACAAAAUACCUCAUUUAUUAGCAUUAUAUCAGUUGUUUUGCAGGUUUUGGGGUACAACUCAGACCUCCUAUCUCAUGGGCAGCUCAGCUGUUUUCCCAUGGAGCAGGAAAAGGAGGUGGUGGAUUAAUUGCUGCUGUACUGUACCUGGACCAGCACAGCCCUGCAAAGCACAGAAGCUACAGUAUCACCUUUCUUUGAUUAAAGAAGAUGUGACGAAGAUUCCUUCAAACCGACCUACCAUAGUCCAUUCAAGAGAGUUUUGCAUAUCCCAUUGGGAGUGUUUGUCAUUGUACAGCUAACAGCGCGUGCUGAGGGAUGUGGGAAUUCAGAGGAAGGGUGGCUUUGUUCUGUCUCUCUGUGUCCGGUGCUGGUUUAAUCCUCCUCCCACUUACCUCACCACUAAGAUCCCCUUUUGUAGAGCAACAACCCUUAAGUGUUAACCACUCAUCUCAGCCCUUCCAGAUGAAGCCUGUGUGUCAUGAAGCUGGAGACAUUCAGAUGCCCAUUUGGAUAGAUCUUCAGCCUGGUCCACACCCCCUCUCCAGCAACACAAGUUCUGCGUGUCCUGACGCCACUGUUCAGCCCUGCACACAGAAGAAGAGCCUUUUCCUGAGCGUUGCUGAGGAAUCUUCACUUCAUACAGUUGUUACAGGCUGUGCUGAGCGCUGUGUUGCUGCCUGGUCUGUUGGUUGUGGGGAACAAUGGCUCAGCAUCGCAGACAGGUUCUUGUAGAAGCUCUGGCAACCCUGGGAACAACAUUCACACCUCUCAACUUGCUUACACUGGUGCUUUCCUGGCCUCAGGAUGCGUACAACAAGAGGAUACAGCUGCUUCUGUCACACUGGAUGAGCCACAUGGUAAUAUGAAGAACUGAAUGGCUCUGCGAGACGUGUCAUCACUCCCCAAACUGUUGACUUCAGCUCCAGUACUACACAGAAAGGAGUGGAGGAGAAUUACUGGAUGAGACACCAAAGGUUACCAGCAGAAGAAAGGUGGGUGGGAAAAAGAGAAAAAAAACGUUUUGAAUCACUUCUUACAAACUAUGCUGACAAGAGGUUACAUAAAACCACUAUGAGGGAGCAACUAGCCAGUGAAAGCAGGAGGAGGAAGGACACUCACCUCCAAUGGGUGGUCCCAGCAAUAUCGUGCAGCACUCCGCUAUGGUGACCAAGCCAACAGCGCUUGUGAAGCGGGAAGCUCCCACAAGGUCCAUGAGAGUUUCAAAAAGCAUGGCACAAACCAUGCCAAAGGCCAAGCCGAAAAAGACGGAGUAAAUGACGAGCCCCGUGUAGCCAGAAGCCAAUGGGCACAGAAGAUGGCAAGUGCCGUUGAAAGCAAUGGAGAAGCUGAAGAAGUAUUGAAUCCGUGGCCUCACCCACUUGCUGUUUGCAAUGAUGCCAGUGGUCGGCCUGGCAACCAUAUCCACAAUAGCAAGAAUUGAAAGGAGGAAAGCAGCUGAGUAUUCAUCAAUGCCAAUGUGCUUUGCAUAGGGUGCUAGAAAAACAAUGGGGGCAAAGAAGCCCAGGAACAUGAGCACAUUUCCAAUCAGGUAAAUCAAGAACCCUCUGUGCUUAAAGAGGGAAAAAUCAAGGUACUUAUUGACUUUUUCACAACAGUCCCUUUCUUCCUCCUCUUCUGUUUUGGUCUCCAUACGGACGUUAGUGGGACUGUUCAUUUCUAUGACAUCCUUAGUGACUUCUUCUUUUAGGACCUCCUUCCCUUCCUCAAUUGACUGGGUUUUGACUGAGGCUUUGUCUGCACUGAUGGGUCUGAAGAGAGCUCCAGCAACACAGCAGUGUAAUAAAAUUGCCCCAAGAAUUAAAAAGCUGCCCCUCCAGCCGUAAUUGUCAAAAAGGAACUGGUUGAGAGGAGCCAAGGUGCAAAGCAUGACGGGGCUCCCUGCCAUAGCAAGGCCGUUGGCGAUAGGUCUUCUCUUCAAAAAGUAUCUCCCUAUGAUUAUCACUGAUGGCUGGAGGUUGAGAGCGAGUCCCAGUCCUGAAACAAAGAAAAACGGUUGAGACAUGCAAAGAAAGCUUUGAGAACUGUUGUGUCUUCAAAUCAUUGUUCUAGGCAAAUUCAUGGAGAGCCAGUAGCUCUUCAGUAUGAAAGCCUGGUGCUAGCCACCAGAGCACAUCCUUUUCAUGCAAACUGCAGCCAGCACUCCCUCCAUGAAUGGUGGGCACCGAAUAUGCCCUGAAAGGUCCCAGAUGCUCCUCAUUUGGUGGCGUGAGUGAGCCAGGUCUGAUGCAUAAGAUUAAGAGGUCUGCAAGUACACAGCAAAACAGCUACUGAGGAUACCAAUUACACGCGAGCGUAGAUUGUUUCUUCUAAUUAGAAUUUAUUUUUAUUACAUUUAGAUAUAUAAAUGUUAUUAUAAAUCUGCAUUGCUAAUUCAGCAAUCCAGCUUCUCUUGCACAGCUAAAAUCUGAAAGAAACACCAAAUGCAGUGAUGGCCUCAACGCUCUGUGGCUCUAUUUAAGAGCACUAGCAAAUGGUAAUCUCUUCUUUUUACACAUUUCUAUGAUUUGUAGUAUUUCCUUACAAAAUUAAAUGUGCAAAACUCUGUCAAAAUGACAUUUUAAAAUUAUGCCACAUAUUUUUCACCCUAUCAUCUAGGAAAGAAUGAGCCACAUUAUAACAAAGCAGAAAUGUAAUCCUUGAAGUGAUUAUACUGGAGAACAUGAAUCCUGAAAAUAGGGUCAUGCAGAUUUUUUUCUUGUUCAUUAGUCUAUAUAAUUAGUUUGUUUAACUCUGCAGUACAUAAUUAGGCAUAUUGCUUUACAGAAGAGAAUUUAGAAAGGUCAAGGUCCUCAAAAUUAAUUAAGAAAUGCUAUCAUUAGUCACUGAUAGAGCAGAAACCAACCAAUGCAGGAGAAUUUGACUGAUGUUAGAUAGCUUAAAUUUGAACAGUUUUACAAAAUUAUGCUUUUUGCUAAGUCUCAGAUAUGUUUUUUUUUUUAAUUACUUGCAAGUUUACAGCACCGAAAGAAAUCAAAAAGACAUCACUGAAACUUGCCUUGAUAGGAAAUGCAUUCUCCAUAUGAAUUUCUGGUUCUGGAGAGCCCGUGCGUUUGGUAGGUCAUUAGGAAGUACAACUUAUUCCUAAUUUAUAAGGGAUGGGGUUCAUACCUAUAAGGAGGACUGACCCAAAAACUGUGUAGGCAAAACACAGCGUUGUGAGAGACCAUAGCUGGAAGUGCUCAGAAAUGGAAAUUAUUUUCACCCAAGAAGAUACAACAGAGUAGACUAGAAUCUGCUUGAAGUCCAUAUUCCCAGGCUGGUAGAUAUGUGCAAAUAUUGAACCGUCUUUUUGACAGAAUCCUUCUUAGAUCUAUACCAUAUCGUGAGGUGAAGGAAAAUCGGACUGGAUGCCAGCUGCCCACUUAGCCAAUAAUCAACUUGAAUCUUUUAUUAUAUGAACAUUAAUUUGCCAGUCAGACAAAUCUAAUUUAAUAUUACAUCAUGGUCUUCCCAUUAAUUAAAUUUGGAGAGUUUCAAAUUGGC